rnacentral:rRNA from 1 species
AUUGAACGCUGGCGGCAGGCCUAACACAUGCAAGUCGAGCGGGGUUUUCGGACCUAGCAGCGGACGGGUGAGUAAUGCGUAGGAAGCUGCCCGAUAGAGGGGGAUACCAGUUGGAAACGACUGUUAAUACCGCAUAAUGUCUACGGACCAAAGUGUGGGACCUUCGGGCCACAUGCUAUCGGAUGCGCCUACGUGGGAUUAGCUAGUUGGUGAGGUAAUGGCUCACCAAGGCGACGAUCUCUAGCUGGUUUGAGAGGAUGAUCAGCCACACUGGAACUGAGACACGGUCCAGACUCCUACGGGAGGCAGCAGUGGGGAAUAUUGGACAAUGGGCGCAAGCCUGAUCCAGCCAUGCCGCGUGUGUGAAGAAGGCCUUCGGGUUGUAAAGCACUUUCAGCGAGGAGGAAGGGUUGGUAGUUAAUAGCUGCCAAUUUUGACGUUACUCGCAGAAGAAGCACCGGCUAACUCUGUGCCAGCCGCCGCAGUAACAC